CCUUUAUACCAUAAUAGUGGAGAUUGUUCUGUGUACUUGUGCUUCUAAAGAUUUGAAGAAUUCAUGUCACGUCAUGAUUUCAAGUCAAUAGUUUUUUGUUAAAUGAAGUGAUACUUAGAUGACCUUGAAAUCUGAAUAAGCAUUUUGUUUUGUAGGUUGGUGUGACUGGAAAUCUCGGCCACUCUUGCUACAGAUUCAGAAAGAUGUUCUUCAAUUUAAGGCUUUACAAUCAAUAUUUGCUCCAGGCUCGUAUGACAUUGAAUAAAAGAGGGAUGCAAGUUUGAAGUAAGGAGAUGCAAAGCUUCCUAACUGGACAUUCUAUAAAGCUGCAGUUCUUUCACAAGACGAAUAAAAUGGAUGAAAAUUUGAAGUAAGGAAAUGCAAAGCUUUUUAAUUGGAUAGCAGUUCUUUCACAAGGUAUGUUUUGCAAUUUUAUCUGAUACUUGUCUGAAAUAUUGAUGACAUAUCUGAUAUUUGAGCUUAUAUGGUCUAAAUGACUAAAAAUUGAUACGAUGGUAUUCUGCUUCGAUGGCAUUGAAUGCAAAAUAGGAUGAUCUUGAAUGUUUGUCUUUUAGUGACAAAUAUUUAUUGUUUUGAAUCGACUUUAAUCUGCGGUCCUCUCAAACAUAUUUAUAACGUGAAAAUCAAGUUAUAACGUCCCUUAAUGAAAUUACCGUUGAAACAUGAUAAGUUGAGACGAUGAUGAUGGUUCUUUCAAACAUAUUAAUAACACAUUCAUGUUUCACAAUAAAAUGACAAUAGAAACAUGGAAAUUCGAAAUGAUGGUUAUGAAUACAUAAUUUUAUAAAUGUGUUUACAUAGUUGGAUAAUAUUAUAUUUUAAUGACCCUUGAUUGAAAAAUAUGAUAUUUGAACUUGAUGGUUCUAAAUUCGAGAAAACGGAAUAAGAAUAUGGUAUUAUGCAUGUGAUAUUGAAUACAAAAUUCGAUAUUUUGAUUUAUAAAUUGAAUUGACGACAUCGUGACUUAGAAGGAUGAUUCAUAUAAUGUUGAAUUGACGGUAUUGUGUCUUAUAUAAUUGACGGUUUCAUGUCCUUAAAUGAUAUUUGAAUUGAAAGAUAAUGGUAUUAUGACCGAAUACUAUUGGAUACGAAAUUUUAAAAUGAUGCUCGUUUGAAAAUGAAUUGACGGUAUUGUGUGGCUUGUAUGAAAUUGAAUUGACGGUUUCGUGUAACAAAAUGAUGGCUCGUAUGAAAUUGAAUUGACAGUGUUGUGUCUUAUAUGAAAUGAAUUGACGGUAUUGUUUCGAUCUGUUGAUAUUGAAUUAAGGUAUUGUGUGGCUCGUAUGAAAUUGAAUUGACGGUAUUGUGCUUAAAAUGACGGCUCGUAUGACAUUGAAUUGACGACAAAUAAAAGAGGGAUGCAAAUUUGAAGUAAGAAAAUGCAAAGCUUCCUAACUGGACAUUCUAUAAAGCUGCAGUUCUUUCACAAG